rnacentral:rRNA from 1 species
AUUGAACGCUGGCGGCAGGCCUAACACAUGCAAGUCGAGCGGUGCGGCGGGCGGGUGAGUAAGGCCUAGUACUCUUCCUGGUAGUGUGGGAUCACGCCCGCAAACGGGUGCUAACACCGCAUAUUAUCAGACUAGUCUAGGCCGGAUUAACUAGGUGGUGGGGUAAAGGCCUACCAAGGCGACGAUCCGUAACUGGUCUUAGAGGAUAAUCAGUCAAACUGGGACUGAGACACGGUCCAGACUCGUACGGGAGGCAGCAGUGGGGAAUAUUGGACAAUGGGCGAAAGCCUGAUCCAGCCAUGCCGCGUGUGUGAAGAAGGUCUUCGGGUUGUAAAGCACUUUAAGUGGGGAGGCGUUACCAACAGAAUAAGCACCGGCUAACUUCGUGCCAGCAGCCGCGGUAAUAC